rnacentral:tRNA from 1 species
GUGAAGGUAGCUCAGUGGUAGAGUGCUUGCUUUGCAAUGCAUGAGGCCCUGGGUUCGAUUCCUCAGCAUCACA